UUGUCGGAAAACAUGGACUACACAAGGGAGCUCAAGGCCGAACAAAACGCCAAAAAUUUAUUGAGAUAAUAUAGAGUAGCAAGGGCUAGAGGGAAGCCCAUGAUGUUAAUUACAUAUAGCAUUGAGAUUUAAAGCUAUGAAUGCAGGAGAGUAAUUUUUUAAAACAAUGUGAUGACUGCACCAACAACCUAUGAGAUUUAAUUUUUUAAAACAAUGUGAUGACUGCACCAACAACCUAUGAGAUUUCUAGAGUCCUCCCAGAGGCUUAUUUGAGAUUUAGGAUAAAGAUUGCUAUAAAAAAAUCAUACUAUUUCUCUCAAUCGAGAGGCUCCACAAAACUGCAACAGCACCAUUGUAAAUUGUCUUAUGCCUCUUGUUGGAAUCUUUUAUAGAGGAGAUGUAGGUAAAAAAGGAGCCUAGGUCAUCUGUCGAAAUGGAUAAAUUGAGCUCCCAUUGAAGAUAAUCCCAAAGGAAAAGCGUCGUGUUGCAGUGGACGAAGAGGUGGUCUCUGUCUUCGCUGUUUUUAUUGCAGAAGACGCACCAAUUUGGUUGAAGGAGUAGAUCCGAAAUUUUUCGUUGAAGAACAUCCAUGGUGUUUAUCCCCUUGUUGAUGAGCGACCACAUGAAGAAUUUACUUUUUAUGGAAUUGUUGGAUUACCAGAUCUUGGAGAGCAACCUGGAGUUUGGAUCUAUUAAGGCUUGCCCAUUUUGGGUUAAGAUGACCUUCUUGGCUGAGGCUAUAUGAAGAACAACCUAUUGUUCUCGGGCGACCAGAUUUUUGUUCAAUUUGACCACGUUGCACCAUGCUUCAUUGUGGCUGCAUAUAGAAAACUUUAAUUUUUCAGAUCCUGUCCAAUCCAUUUUGGUUGCCAUUUUCACGGUCAAAGUUGUUAUUCAAUAUCAAAAAUGAUGGAUAAAUGUUUAGACCAUAAUUUUAGGUCAUUCCUCAACUCGCCAUCCACACAACUUAUCAUCAUGAUUUACUGUCAUUUUCUGCCAUUUUAAUCAGUCAAGGGACGAUCUCUCAACCUCUCAGUCAUCCAUCUUACACAUGAAAGUUCCUCUGAGGUGUGACCACUCUAGGUCAUCUCAUCCCGUGAAAGCUUGCGGUGAGAGAAGAUUCAUCCUUGAGAAAGAAGAAUCAACAUAAGGAAAGUGUGGAAAUUGAGGAUUUGCCUCAAGGCAUCUUUGAGUUGUAUUUUUAGCAUUAUGUAUUCUGUUUUCUUGUAAUUUUCUCGUUUCUUUCUUUACUGGUUGAACAUCAUCUUGGUAACCAUGAUUUCUAAUUUAAUAAAGUUCAUUCUUUAUCUUUA